rnacentral:rRNA from 1 species
GUCCUAGCCGUAAACGGUGCACGUUUGCUGUAAAAGGAAUCGACCCCUUUUGUGGCGUAGCCAACGCGUUAAACGUGCCGCCUGGGGAAGUACGGUCGCAAGAUUAAAACUCAAAGAAAUUGACGGGGGCAUGCACAAGCGGUGGAGUAUGUGGCUCAAUUCGAUGCAACGCGAAGAACCUUACCUGGCCUUGACAUGCAAGUAGUAGAAGGGUGAAAGCCUGACGAGGUAGCAAUACCAGCUUGCACAGGUGCUGCAUGGCUGUCGU